rnacentral:rRNA from 1 species
ACAUGCAAGCCGAACGGAAAGGCCUGCUUUUGUGGGGUGCUCGAGUGGCGAACGGGUGAGUAACACGUGAGUAACCUGCCCUUGACUUUGGGAUAACUUCAGGAAACUGGGGCUAAUACCGGAUAGGAGCUCCUGCUGCAUGGUGGGGGUUGGAAAGUUUCGGCGGUUGGGGAUGGACUCGCGGCUUAUCAGCUUGUUGGUGGGGUAGUGGCUUACCAAGGCUUUGACGGGUAGCCGGCCUGAGAGGGUGACCGGCCACAUUGGGACUGAGAUACGGCCCAGACUCCUACGGGAGGCAGCAGUGGGGAACAUUGCACAAUGGGCGGAAGCCUGAUGCAGCAACGCCGCGUGCGGGAUGACGGCCUUCGGGUUGUAAACCGCUUUCACCUGUGACGAAGCGUGAGUGACGGUAAUGGGUAAAGAAGCACCGGCUAACUACGUGCCAGCAGCCGCGGUGAUACGUAGGGUGCGAGCGUUGUCCGGAUUUAUUGGGCGUAAAGGGCUCGUAGGUGGUUGAUCGCGUCGGAAGUGUAAUCUUGGGGCUUAACCCUGAGCGUGCUUUCGAUACGGGUUGACUUGAGGAAGGUAGGGGAGAAUGGAAUUCCUGGUGGAGCGGUGGAAUGCGCAGAUAUCAGGAGGAACACCAGUGGCGAAGGCGGUUCUCUGGGCCUUUCCUGACGCUGAGGAGCGAAAGCGUGGGGAGCAAACAGGAUUAGAUACCCUGGUAGUCCACACCGUAAAC